rnacentral:rRNA from 1 species
GUAGCGUAAUACCUUGUCGCUUAAUUGGCGACUUGCAUGAAGGCUCAACGAGAGUUCUACUGUCCCCGCCAUGACGCUAGUGAAAACAAUCAGUCUGGUGCACAAUCCAGACCCCUCCAUCUGAAAGCGAAGACCCCAUGGAGUUUCACUGCAACCUGUUGUUGUUGUAAGAAUUGGCAUGUGUAGGGUAGGCGGGAGACGUUACCCAGGAAGGUGCGCUAGCAUCUCUCCGAGUCACCGAUGAAACACCGCCCUUGUCAAUUUUUACGACUCACCUCUCCGGAGGAACAGCUAUAGGCAGGCAGUUCGGGUGGGGCGCCACGCCCUCAAAAAGAUAACAAGGGCGCCCAAAGGUUAGCUCAGGUAGGUCAGAAAUCUACCGAAGAAUGUAAGGGUAUAAGCUAGCUUGACUCGGAACCAGACAAUAGGGUUCGGAGAUAGGAAACUAUGGCCUAGCGAACC